rnacentral:rRNA from 1 species
ACUUGAGUGCAGAAGAGGACAGUGGAACUCCAUGUGUAGCGGUGAAAUGCGUAGAUAUAUGGAAGAACACCAGUGGCGAAGGCGGCUGUCUGGUCUGCAACUGACGCUGAGGCUCGAAAGCAUGGGUAGCGAACAGGAUUAGAUACCCUGGUAGUCCAUGCCGUAAACGAUGAUUACUAAGUGUUGGAGGGUUUCCGCCCUUCAGUGCUGCAGCUAACGCAUUAAGUAAUCCGCCUGGGGAGUACGACCGCAAGGUUGAAACUCAAAAGAAUUGACGGGGGCCCGCACCAGCGGUGGAGCAUGUGGUUUAAUUCGAAGCUACGCGAAGAACCUUACCAGGUCUUGACAUCUUUUGACAGUCUAAGAGAUUAGAGGUUCCCUUCGGGGACAGAAUGACAGGUGGUGCAUGGUUGUCGUCAGCUCGUGUCGUGAGAUGUUGGGUUAAGUCCCGCAACGAGCGCAACCCUUAUUACUAGUUGCCAGCAUUAAGUUGGGCACUUUAGUGAGACUGCCGGUGACAAACCGGAGGAAGGUGGGGACGACGUCAAAUCAUCAUGCCCCUUAUGACCUGGGCUACACACGUGCUACAAUGGAUGGUACAACGAGUCGCGAGACCGCGAGGUUAAGCUAAUCUCUUAAAACCAUUCUCAGUUCGGACUGUAGGCUGCAACUUGCCUACACGAAGUCGGAAUCGCUUGUAAUCGCGGAUCAGCAUGCCGCGGUGAAUACGUUCCCGGGCCUUGUACACACCGCCCGUCACACCCUGAGAGUUUGUAACACCCAAAGCCGGUGGGGUAA